rnacentral:misc_RNA from 1 species
AAGAUUCUUCGGAUGUGCGCUCCGGCUGCACUCCGAAUCCCACUUCACACACCCGUGCGCCUCGAGCGGGGUAAGACCCGCUCGCCUUUACACAUCACACGAGUAAAAGCCGAAUGUCGUAUACCAUAACUUAAUA